rnacentral:rRNA from 1 species
GUCCACACCGUAAAACGAUGGAUACUAGGUGUCCGGCCUUUCGGGGCUGGGUGCCCAAGGGAAACCGAUAAGUAUCCCACCUGGGGAGUACGUCCGCAAGGAUGAAACUCAAAAGGAAUUGACGGGGGCCCGCACAAGCGGUGGAGCAUGUGGUUUAAUUCGAUGAUACGCGAGGAACCUUACCUGGGCUAGAAUGCCCCUGACCGGCCGUGAAAAGCGGUUUUCCCUUCGGGGCAGGGUGCAAGGUGCUGCAUGGUUGUCGU